AUGUAUUUUUUGUUCACUAUAGCAGCUGUUUCAGCUCGGCUCCCCCCGCCCCCCCCCCAUGUCCUUCUGGACACAGAACGCGUCUCUUCGGAGAGCCCUUUGGAAAUCCUGGGCAGUCCAGGGCGCCCUUCGGCCCCGGAGCUAGAAGCAGCCCGAUGGCUCCAGGGGUUUCCGGGCAGGCAGAUCUCUGGGCCCAUCCAGACUCCGUCCCGGGGGGGGGGGUGUCUGCCUGGUGAGGUCACUCCAAGGGGCAGAGACGGACUUCGUGACCUUGGACUAGUCCCUGCCGAUGUUAGGGGAGGCAGGCUGGGGCAGACUCCUCCUUUCACCCCCCAGCUGGGCACGUUAACCUCUGGGGCCCUGGGCAGCGCUCUGGGACCUCCAGUUGCUGAGGAGGCUCUCCUUCCUCGGGAGCCCCCCGGGGCGUCGGAAACACCACGUUUGGCCCCUGGCUUGGAGGUCCCUUUGGCCAUGAAACGCUGCUCUGCCUUACGAACGUGUGACCUUGGUCAAGUCCUUCUCCUUCCUGGACCUCUGCCAGACGCGGAGGUAGGACUCUCGUCUAAGCCGGCUCAGAAGCCUGCACGGCUGGGGUCAGAGAGGGCCCGGCCUCGGGUCCCAGGUGGGCAGGGUCCAGCCCCUCGUCGUCUGACCCUCGAAAGCCAACCUCAGGGCCAUCAGAUUCAUCGUGGAAGCUGGCAAAGUCUCCAGGAAAAGUGCUCAUACAUAUUUGAAGAAGGGAAGGAUGAGGUCACUCAGGAUGGAAGGACCACCUGGUGUUUGGUGUUUGCCCGGAGCUUGGGGAGGGCCCGGAGGGGGGAUGGGGCCGCCGCCGGCCUCGGGGCUCUCCCACUUGGCCACGAGAGGUCUCCAGAGCCGGCCUCCGGAUCAAUGGCCCGACGGCAUGUUCCAGCCUGGCCAGCCAUCGUGGCUUGUUGGGCACUGCCUCGCUGUGCCCGAGCCUCCGGGGCCUCUUCUGGAGUCCGCUCAGCAAAGGCACCGGAGCGCUUGGCGAUUUCCUUUGACACAGAAGGACUCGGAGGCAAACAGGGCUAA
rnacentral:lncRNA from 1 species